rnacentral:rRNA from 1 species
UUGAAGAGUUUGAUCAUGGCUCAGAUUGAACGCUGGCGGCAGGCCUAACACAUGCAAGUCGAACGGAAACAUGUCUAGCUUGCUAGAUGAUGUCGAGUGGCGGACGGG